CCAAUGCGUCGAAAUCACCCCACAUGGUGUCGGUUUUACCCGCACUGAAGUCUUGAUGUAACAAAAACCACACUGUUUUUUUUAAUUUUAUCAAAAUAUUAUCAAAGUCAAACCAGGAACCAUAUUUUCUCGAAAGAUAGUACAUAAUGAGCCAAACAAUCUUUUUCGAUGUUUACUAAUAAGUUUACGAUGGCAAAAGAAUUGCAAUCAGGAGAAAACCUUAAGCUGUCCAAACUACCUCCACCUCCCUUACAGGCCCGAACAAGCUGCAUCGCACGCAACUGACACAUGAGUUUGUUGUUGUUUUGAGUCGGAUGCAUUUGUCACUGCGGCAGCUCCGCGAAGAGGAUUCAUUCCGCCGCCCCAUACACCCUUGUGGUUGUGCAUCCCGCCCGCGACACACCAUGGCACCUGUGGCCAGUGAGUAAUCGACCCCGAAAGGUAAGCGAGGGCCCCCUCAGUCAGCACGAAAAGAAAGCAGCUCCACUCGUCGUGACGCCCAACCACAACGCCGCUAUCCAGUCCCGUUCGUUUUCGCGUUGGCCCGCGCCAGGUAGAUGUCCGCCGCCCAGAAACAGUCGCACCCGGUCGAGAUGGGACCGAUCGAGCCGCACCAGCGGCUCCAGAAGCUCGUCGCGGACAGCCAGCGGGUGUCGAUCGAUCCGACCAUGCCGAUCAAUCGGUACUACCGCUCCGGCAACCAGAUCGUCGAGACGGCGGACCGUUCGCUGCGCGAGGGUAACCUGGAGAAAGCGUUCACCUUCUAUCUGCGGUUCGUGACGAUCUUCGUCGAGCUGAUACUGGAGCACCCGGGGUACAGGUCGGUGCCGCCGGCGGACAAGCAGCUGACGAAGGAGAAGAUUAAGAAAAUCAUGCCGCGGGCGGAAGAGAUCCGGUCGAAGCUGCUGGAGAAGUACACCACCGAGUAUCGGCUGUACCUGAAGCAGCUCCAGCUGCAGACCGAACAGGAGGAAAGGGAAGGCGAAGCGCGGAAGGUAGCUGCGACGGCGGCAGCGGCAGCAGCAGCAGCAGCGGCGGCAGCCGCAGCGGCCGCAGCGAAAUCGGCGGACCAGCAGCCCACCACGUCGUACGCGCCGAGCGCCCCACCGAGCCACGUGGCCGUCAUCACCGACACGGACGCGAAGCUGAUCGAUCAGGUGCUGUACCCGAGCGACUUUCUGACCGACCGCAGCCAGGCGACCGGACUGCCCAGCACCGGGCUGCUGCUUGCCGGCGAGGACGGCCGCCGGUUCGACCGGGCGCUGAAACCGACCGCACCGACCGGCGCUACAGCGGGCGUCGGGUUCCGGUCGAUCGUCGUGCCGACCGACACGAUGCAAAAGUUUCUCGAGCUGGCCGCCGCCAACACGGCCGCCAACCUGGAAACGUGCGCGAUACUGGCGGGCAGUCUGGGGCAGGCCCGCUUCACCAUUACCCAUGUGAUAUUUCCAAAGCAGAGCGGCACCUCGGACAGCUGCAACACGAUGAACGAGGAGGAGAUUGCGGUCGUGCAGGACCGGCACAAUCUCAUCACGCUCGGGUGGAUACAUACGCACCCGUCGCAGACGGCAUUUCUAUCGUCGGUCGACCUGCACACCCACUGCUCCUACCAGCUGAUGCUGGAGGAAGCGAUCGCGAUCGUCUGCUCGCCAAAGUAUCGAGAAACUGGCUUUUUCAAUCUCACACCGCACGGGAUGGAUUCGAUAUCGCAGUGCCGGCAGACGGGAUUCCAUCCCCAUCCCGCCGGUCAGCCACUGUUUACGGAAGCUCAGCACAUCGUACUGAGCGACAGCGUGGCGGCCCGAGUGAUUGACUUGCGAUAAAUUAUUAAGUGUACUUAUAUGCUUAAACGGGGGCGAUGGGCUCUACGCACACAACCGGAAGCCGUGUCCGUGAGAGAGAGAGAGAGAAAAUAAAACGAUGGAAAGAGAGUAGGGACAUAGAGAAGGAGAGUUAAAGGAAAAUAGACAAAAUGCUAGCCGGCAACAAAAAAAAAUUAAUUACCAGCUGUGUGUACCAACGCUUAUACUCGUAUCAUUGUUGAUGAAAAUCGCCUGUUUGAGCCCACGCCCUCCCCCAGCUUUGCACAACAACCGUUCACGGCAAGCGUGUUUGGCACAACAAAAAAUAAAAAUAAAAGAAAAACGUGCAGAGGAGCUACGGUUUGGAGCUGCCGGUAAGGCCUCAUAGCGCUCUCCAGCAGGGGGGCCACAAGUAUUUUCAGCAGGAGCUUGUGUGUGGCGG